rnacentral:rRNA from 1 species
GACGAACGCUGGCGGCGUGCCUAAUACAUGCAAGUUGAGCGCUGAAGGUUGGUACUUGUACCAACUGGAUGAGCAGCGAACGGGUGAGUAACGCGUGGGGAAUCUGCCUUUGAGCGGGGGGCAACAUUUGGAAACGAAUGCUAAUACCGCAUAAAAACUUUAAACACAAGUUUUAAGUUUGAAAGAUGCAAUUGCAUCACUCAAAGAUGAUCCCGCGUUGUAUUAGCUAGUUGGUGAGGUAAAGGCUCACCAAGGCGAUGAUACAUAGCCGACCUGAGAGGGUGAUCGGCCACAGUGGGACUGAGACACGGCCCAAACUCCUACGGGAGGCAGCAGUAGGGAAUCUUCGGCAAUGGACGAAAGUCUGACCGAGCAACGCCGCGUGAGUGAAGAAGGUUUUCGGAUCGUAAAACUCUGUUGGUAGAGAAGAACGUUGGUGAGAGUGGAAAGCUCAUCAAGUGACGGUAACUACCCAGAAAGGGACGGCUAACUACGUG